UUUCGCGCCGGUUGCCGCUGCGGAGCGCGGCCGGUCCAUGUGCGCAGUGAGUGGCGCUAUUUCUGCCUCAGUAGCACCGGUGUCCCGGGUCUGACCGACCGCGCGGCGAUGGAUCCCAACACCAUCAUCGAGGCCCUCCGGGGCACCAUGGACCCAGCCCUGCGCGAGGCCGCUGAGCGCCAGCUCAAUGAAGCACACAAGUCUCUGAAUUUCGUUUCAACACUGCUCCAGAUUACUAUGUCAGAACAACUGGAUUUACCUGUGAGACAGAUGCUGAUGAGGAGCUCUGGCAAGAAGAUCCUUAUGAAUAUAUACGCAUGAAGUUCGAUGUGUUUGAAGAUUUCAUUUCUCCUACUACUGCUGCUCAAACACUUUUGUUUACAGCCUGUAGCAAAAGGAAAGAGAACACGAGAAUGACAGUGACGAUGAUGAGGAUGCGGAAGAUGAUGAUGAAACUGAAGAACUGGGGAGUGAUGAAGAUGAUAUUGAUGAAGAUGGACAAGAAUAUUUGGAGAUCCUGGCUAAACAAGCUGGUGAGGAUGGAGAUGAUGAAGAUUGGGAAGAAGAUGAUGCUGAGGAGACUGCUCUGGAAGGCUAUUCCACAAUCAUCGAUGAUGAAGACAACCCUGUUGAUGAGUAUCAAAUCUUUAAAGCUAUAUUUCAAACUAUUCAAAAUCGCAAUCCUGUAUGGUAUCAGGCUUUGACUCACGGUCUUAAUGAAGAGCAAAGGAAACAGUUACAGGACAUAGCAACUCUAGCUGAUCAAAGAAGAGCAGCCCAUGAGUCCAAAAUGAUUGAAAAGCAUGGAGGAUACAAAUUCAGUGCACCAGUUGUGCCAAGUUCUUUCAAUUUUGGAGGCCCAGCACCGGGGAUGAAUUGAGUUUCCACUUUCUUUCCUGCUGUGUGAGUGUAGUGAAGAGCUUGUGUUCCUCCUAGUAGUGGUUCCAGAUCCGGUUCAUGUUAACUACUAACUGAUCAAUAGAAGGACAGAAACCCCAGGAGGUGGGAGCUGAUCAUGUAACCUGGCACUGGACGAGAAACUAGAGGGAUUUGGGGAGGGGUUAACUUGGGGGGCUAUUUUCUUUAUUUUUUGAAGAAAGUAAGAUCCUGACUCUGAAGCUUCAAGAGACACUGUGGAAAUCUGAAAUGAGGGGAUGUCAUGAAGGCAGCUUUUCUUUUUCUGAGGAAAAAAAUAGGCAUGGGCUACAGGACUAUUUAAAAUGUCUCAUUUACAGUAUAAAGUUCAAAGGUAGAUGUAAUUUUUACACCUCUAAGUAUUUGUCCUAUUUCUGUCUGUUCCUUACCAUUGGGUAUCCUUUAUAUGUAAAUAUGAUAAGGUAAUCGAUAGCCUUAUUCGGUCUUUAUCAUUUUCAUUCACCAGAUUGUUCCUAUGUAGAUUGGACAUUUAUUGUAGCACUACAUAACUGAUUUUAAAAUCUGUAAAUGAAUUAGCACUUUCAUAUUGAAACAAGCCUGCUAGCCUAUGUAUAAAAGCAAAACUGUUUGCUGUUUAUAAAAAGGGAUGUAAUGGGGUGGGGGGCAGGGGUAAUUUCAGGUUUAAUUAUUAAUUUAAAAAUGAACUAGCAAUUUUGUAUCUGGUGACUUUGUGGUGCACUCACCUCUGGUAGUGACUUGAAUUCGGUAUGUAAAAAGGGGUUAGUGAUGUUUCAUUGCUGCUAAAAAUGGCAACUCUCUCUGUGUCCUUUUUUGUUCCUAAAGCUCUCAGUGUACAAGUGGACAUUUGGAUACAAGACCUUAUGUAACAAACAGAGGUGAUAUCUGAAGCAUGUAAAUUGGAUAUAAAAUUCUACUCUUAAAGAGUUGAUCUAGAGUAUGGCUAAACAUCUAUAUAUGCAAUCUAUUAAAAGAACUUAAUUCG
rnacentral:lncRNA from 1 species